CACGUAGGGGCCAAGCGUUGUCCGGAUUUAUUGGGCGUAAAGAGCGUGUAGGCGGCCAAGUAGGUCCGAUGUGAAAACUCGAGGCUUAACCUCGAGAUGUCAUCGGAAACCAUUUGGCUAGAGUCCGGAAGAGGAAAGUGGAAUUCCUGGUGUAGCGGUGAAAUGCGCAGAUAUCAGGAAGAACACCAAUGGCGAAAGCAGCUUUCUGGGACGGUACUGACGCUGAGACGCGAAAGCGUGGGGAGCGAACAGG
rnacentral:rRNA from 1 species